rnacentral:siRNA from 1 species
UUCCAUGUGAACGGCACUUGCAC